CAUCACUGGUCAUUGAAGAAAUGCAAAUUAAAACAAUGUUAAGAUUCCAUCUCCAGAAACAAUGGCUGCCAUCAAGAAAUCAACCAAUAACAAACAUUGGUGGGGCUGAGGGGAAAAAGGAACACUUCUCCAUGUUGGUGGGAGUGUAGAUUGGUACAACCACUGUGGAAAUCAGUGUGGAGAUUCCUCAAAAAACUAAGAUUGGAUAUCCCAUUUAAUCCAGCUAUUCCCUUUCUGGAUAUCUUCCAAGAAGAACUGAAAAUGUCAUGCUACAGUGAUAUGUGCAUGUUGGGAGCCGCAGCCCCGAGCCCGGUCGCCUUACUUGGCGGACGUGCGGCCUGUAGUAAAGAGCAAAGCCUGAGGUAGAUUACCCCUCCCAUCGAGUACGCCAGUUUCCUGCUUACCGCGUAAGCAACCCGCUCAACAAUAUAGUCUGCCUGGCAACUGAUGAUGUUAGCCAAUCAGCUUGCCUUGCUUACUUUAACAUGAUUGGACACUGUACCCGUAUAUAUACUGGUGCCACCCCUGGGAGGAAGUAGAAGCCAGGUAGAAGCCCGGAAGUAGAAGCCCAGAAGGAGCCGCGGAGAGCGGACCGAUAGAGGCUUCGGGGCAGACUGAAGCACAAGAGGAGCCGCGGAGAGCGGACCAAAGGAGGCUUCAGCUGGGAGAACCCAGGGCAGGCUGUACGGAGAAGAAGAAUAAAAAGAAAAGGUUGUCCACUCCCAGACUUUGUCGUGUGUCCUUCCGCCGGCCAGAAGCGACCGCGACAUUUGGUGGCCCGCCCGGGGACUGAUCACCCCCGAGACGUAGUGGACAACGCUCCAGUACAGAGCUGCGAGACAGGAAUCGGGACGAAAACCACUGUGGAUACCGGAGAGACUGACACGGGCAACAAAGCCCUCGACUGAAGAUCAGACCUGCCCUACCGGAGAUCCAUCACAGACCAACCAACAAGAUGAAUAGAAAUAGCGGUAGCCCGAAAUGGACAAAAAGAUCCUCAGGCAUAUGCAUGGCUUGCUCGAUUGGCCCACGACCGAGUCUAGAUAUGGCGGGCAUCCUUCAUUCUCCUCCAUAAGGUGACAAUACACAGCAGGGUAGAUGAGUCAAUGACGGGUAAGAGCGUGCCUCCCCAGCACGACUCGACCUAAGCCAGGCCCUACCCCAUCCUGCACGUAAGCCGCUGGACUGUUAGAUGCUGCCCAGGUCUAAAUUUCUCUCCAAGGGGAUUUCUUUACGGAGAGGAAAUGAGUGCAAGCUUGUGUGCAUCCAGGUUCCGUCCAGUUUGUGCCUGGCCCUAGAAAAAGGACGAGGGCCUCAGGGCCUUGGCAGACCAUGGGACGGCCGACCAGGGUCUAAGCCAAGGACCUACGGUGGGCCUACGCAUAGGGCAUAAGCCUCUGCACCCAGUCCAGGAAGGGCUACGAUGCGCACAUUCAUAAAAAAUAAAAUAGGGGGAGAUGUUGGGAGCCGCAGCCCCGAGCCCGGUCGCCUUACUUGGCGGACGUGCGGCCUGUAGUAAAGAGCAAAGCCUGAGGUAGAUUACCCCUCCCAUCGAGUACGCCAGUUUCCUGCUUACCGCGUAAGCAACCCGCUCAACAAUAUAGUCUGCCUGGCAACUGAUGAUGUUAGCCAAUCAGCUUGCCUUGCUUACUUUAACAUGAUUGGACACUGUACCCGUAUAUAUACUGGUGCCACCCCUGGGAGGAAGUAGAAGCCAGGUAGAAGCCCGGAAGUAGAAGCCCAGAAGGAGCCGCGGAGAGCGGACCGAUAGAGGCUUCGGGGCAGACUGAAGCACAAGAGGAGCCGCGGAGAGCGGACCAAAGGAGGCUUCAGCUGGGAGAACCCAGGGCAGGCUGUACGGAGAAGAAGAAUAAAAAGAAAAGGUUGUCCA